UACGAAGGGUGCAAACGUUGCUCGGAAUCAUUGGGCGUAAAGCGCACGUAGGCGGCUUCGCAAGUCGGAUGUGAAAUCCCUCGGCUCAACCGAGGACGUGCAUCCGAAACUGCGGAGCUUGAGUGCUGAAGAGGAUCGCGGAAUUCCCGGUGUAGAGGUGAAAUUCGUAGAUAUCGGGAGGAACACCAGUGGCGAAGGCGGCGAUCUGGGCAGACACUGACGCUGAGGUGCGAAAGCGUGGGGAGCAAACAGG
rnacentral:rRNA from 1 species